CUUCCUCGAUCUGCUGCGGGCAGAUGAAGUGGAUGUGCGAGUCGAUGCCGCCGGCCGUCACGAUCAUGCCUUCGCAGCUGAUGAUCUCGGUGCCGGGGCCGAUGAUGAUGUCCACGCCCGGCUGAACGUCGGGGUUGCCGGCCUUGCCGAUGGCGGCAAUGCGCCCGCCUUUGAGGCCAAUGUCGGCCUUGACGAUGCCCCAGUGGUCGAGGAUCAGCGCAUUCGUCAUCACCGUGUCCAUGGCGCCUUCGGCAUUGGUUCUUUGCGACUGCGCCAUGCCAUCGCGAAU
rnacentral:sRNA from 1 species